AAGGAAUAUUGGUCAAUGGACGAAAGUCUGAACCAGCCAUGCCGCGUGAAGGAUGAAGGUCCUCUGGAUUGUAAACUUCUUUUAUCUGGGACGAAAAAAGGGCAUUCAUGCUCACUUGACGGUACCAGAGGAAUAAGCACCGGCUAACUCCGUGCCAGCAGCCGCGGUAAUACGGAGGGUGCAAGCGUUAUCCGGAUUCACUGGGUUUAAAGGGAGCGUAGGUGGGCAGGUAAGUCAGUGGUGAAAUCUCCGGGCUUAACCCGGAAACUGCCAUUGAUACUAUCUGUCUUGAAUAUCCUGGAGGUAAGCGGAAUAUGUCAUGUAGCGGUGAAAUGCUUAGAUAUGACAUAGAACACCCAUUGCGAAGGCAGCUUACUACGGGAUGAUUGACACUGAGGCUCGAAAGCGUGGGGAUCAAAC
rnacentral:rRNA from 1 species